rnacentral:rRNA from 1 species
GACGAACGCUGGCGGCGUGCCUAAUACAUGCAAGUAGAACGCAGUUGCGAACGGGUGAGUAACGCGUAGGUAACUGCCUCAUAGCGGGGGGUAACUAUUGGAAACGGGAGCUAAUACCGCAUACUGUGAGAUGGACCUGCGUUGUAUUAGCUAGUUGGAGGGGUAAAGGCUCACCAAGGCGACUAUACAUAGCCGGGCUGAGAGGGGGAUCGGGCAAAAUGGGACUGGGAACCGGCCCAAACUCCUACGGGAGGCAGCAGUAGGGAAUUUUCGGCAAUGGGGGGAAGGCUGAACGAGCAACUGCGCGUGAGUGAAGAAGGGUUUCGGAUCUUAAAGCUCUGUUGUUAGAGAAGCGGUACCUAACCAGAAAGGGACGGCUAACUACGUGCCAGCAGCCGCGGUAAUAC